rnacentral:rRNA from 1 species
AUGAACAACAUGAAUCCAGCUGAUCUCAAGUUAGAAGAAAGCAAGGCAAAUAAGAGAAACAAUUAUGCUACUGCAGUCAAACUUUACUCUAUGCAUCCUAACGUGUAUCAAUUAUUUGAUUUCUCAGGUAAUCAGUGCCCAGUUUACCACCUUAACUCUAGUCUAGUGGCAGCAGACCGCUGCCUAGAUGAUGCAACACUGUACUCAACUAGGAGCCUUUGCUGGCUUAAGAUGGGUGAAGGAGACCAAGCUUUGAUGAAUGCUGGAAUUUGCAAGAUGAAGCGCCUAGGUUGGGCAAAGGCCUGCUACCUGCAAGGUCGACCCUCAAGCUCCAGGCUGGACUAA